rnacentral:rRNA from 1 species
AUUGAACGCUGGCGGCAGGCCUAACACAUGCAAGUCGAGCGGAUGAAGGGAGCUUGCUCCUGGAUUCAGCGGCGGACGGGUGAGUAAUGCCUAGGAAUCUGCCUGGUAGUGGGGGAUAACGUCCGGAAACGGGCGCUAAUACCGCAUACGUCCUGAGGGAGAAAGUGGGGGAUCUUCGGACCUCACGCUAUCAGAUGAGCCUAGGUCGGAUUAGCUAGUUGGUGGGGUAAAGGCCUACCAAGGCGACGAUCCGUAACUGGUCUGAGAGGAUGAUCAGUCACACUGGAACUGAGACACGGUCCAGACUCCUACGGGAGGCAGCAGUGGGGAAUAUGGGACAAUGGGCGAAAGCCUGAUCCAGCCAUGCCGCGUGUGUGAAGAAGGUCGUCGGAUUGUAAAGCACUUUAAGUUGGGAGGAAGGGCAGUAAGUUAAUACCUUGCUGUUUUGACGGUACCAACAGAAUAAGCACCGGCUAACUUCG